rnacentral:rRNA from 1 species
UACGGAGGAUCCAAGCGUUAUCCGGAUUUAUUGGGUUUAAAGGGUGCGUAGGCGGAAUAGUAAGUCAGUGGUGAAAGCCUGUUGCUUAACAACAGAACUGCCAUUGAUACUGCUAAUCUUGAGUACAUUUGAUGUGGGCGGAAUGUGUCAUGUAGCGGUGAAAUGCAUAGAUAUGACACAGAACACCGAUUGCGAAGGCAGCUCACAAAACUGU